rnacentral:lncRNA from 1 species
GAGCUUCCGCAGAGAUCCUGCAGAUGUGAUUCGAGUCUUCCAGCAACACCACCUCACUCUGCUUUGCACAAUCACUCCACCUCCCCACAUGUUGCGGAGAUUCUCCUGGGGAUUCACACUCUUCCUACUUGCAGCUGUGACACGGGAAACAUCCUCCACCAGGUCUUCUCUCACAGUGUGGCCUCUGCGCACAGGUUAUCCACCUGUAGACCUGGACGGGACCCUCGAGGCUCCCUACUCUGACCAUCUGGUUUUAUAGUUGAGGAACCAGAAGCCGAGGCAGGGUCUCGACGGUGAAGAAGCAGGCUGUUUCCAUCUUCAGGAUACAAGCCAUCUGCGCAUAGGAAGAGGGUCCAGAGGCUCAUCUGGAAUCCCUCCUCACUCACUGGACGGAGGACCUGACCCCGUUCCCAUCAUUGGUUCUGAAUCCAUCAGCCCAGCAAGACAGGUGUCUCCAGCAAGUUCUGUAAAAUACAACCAUAGCCGGGCCUGGAGUCAGCCCCCAAUAAAGGGUUCACCAUG